GACGAACGCUGGCGGCGUGCUUAACACAUGCAAGUCGAACGGAAAGGCCCUGCUUUUGUGGGGUUCUCGAGUGGCGAACGGGUGAGUAACACGUGAGUAACCUGCCCUUGACUUUGGGAUAACUUCAGGAAACUGGGGCUAAUACCGGAUAGGAGCUCCUGCUGCAUGGUGGGGGUUGGAAAGUUUCGGCGGUUGGGGAUGGACUCGCGGCUUAUCAGCUUGUUGGUGGGGUAGUGGCUUACCAAGGCUUUGACGGGUAGCCGGCCUGAGAGGGUGACCGGCCACAUUGGGACUGAGAUACGGCCCAGACUCCUACGGGAGGCAGCAGUGGGGAAUAUUGCACAAUGGGCGGAAGCCUGAUGAAGCAACGCCGCGUGCGGGAUGACGGCCUUCGGGUUGUAAACCGCUUUCGCCUGUGACGAAGCGUGAGUGACGGUAAUGGGUAAAGAAGCACCGGCUAACUACGUG
rnacentral:rRNA from 1 species